ensembl:misc_RNA Metazoa_SRP Metazoan signal recognition particle RNA
ACCAGGAGGGGUGGCACGUUCCUGUAGUCCCAGCUACUCGGGAGGCUGAGGCUGGAGAUUCUCUUGAGUCCAGGAGUUCUGGGUUGCAGUGCACUAUGCUAAUCAGGUGUCCAAGCACUAAGUUCAGGAUCAAUAUGGUGACCUCCCGGGAGCAGGGCACCACCAGGUUGCCUACAGAGGGGUGAACCAGCCCAGGUCGAGAACAGAGCAGGUCAAAACUCCCAUGCUGAGACUAGUAGUGGGAUCGCAUCUGUGAAUAGCCACUGCACUCCAGCAGAGGAUAGGAUGGACCAU